GGCCUUGUAGCUCAGCUGGUAGAGCAUGCGCGUACAAAGCGUAGGCGGUGUCCAUGCGUGGGUUCGAAUCCCAUCGAGGCUA
rnacentral:tRNA from 1 species